rnacentral:rRNA from 1 species
GGUAAAGGACGAAUGCCAGCAACCGCGGUUAAAUUCACACGGGGACUUAUGCGUCUAAAGGUGGGAAGCCCUUUGCGGGGUUGUACUACUGGGGAAGCGCAUAUGCGGGCGAGCUUCAAGGGAUGGCGGCAGAAGAGACAGUUAGACACAGUAGAAUAAGAGGCUUUGGGACAUAUCUUGUAAGGGGUCUAAUCCGUAUCAAGUAUAAAAAGCGCGCUAGCCUGAUAGUUGAAGCUGUGAAAACUAGAGAAUCGACCGGGAUUAGAGACCCCGCUAGUCCUAGUCGUUAAUAUGCUGACCUCUUCAGCGUAUCUGGAGAUAUUCAAGGUUGUAAGCUACCGGUUAACUACGUGUUGAUGUGCAUAAAAGACGAAGGGGUAGACGGCCUUAUUUGAGAGCAUCAGGGGAACUUGAUCUUUCAUCCGAUGAUCCCCGUUUAACCUUACUUUAACUGGUUGUGCGAUUACUACCGGGGUAGAGUAAUAUGUUUAUAUAUGAAAGAACUCCCUGCACAGGUGUUAUAUCGCUGCAGUUGCAAGUCUUUCGACUGUGCAUAUACUCGCAAUUCCGUGUUGGCGUUAGUAAGAUUUACUGCGCAUGCGGGGGAAGGCAAGUCGACAUGUCCCUUAAGUUAAAGGCUACGAUUGAGUUACAAUAUACCUAUAAAGUUAUCCGGAGUAUGUUUGAAAUAGGCAUAUGAAGGAGGACUUGUAAGUAAUUUUGGUUUAGAAAGCCAUUUUGAAUACUGUUUAACGGAAGGUGUACUAACCGCCCGUCACCCGGGGUUAGCGCCCUGGUAAGUCGUAACAAGGUAGGCGUACGGGAACGUGUGCCUGAAAAUCA